UGACUUGCUGUUGAGACUCUGAAAUCUGAUUUUCUAAGAAUGAUGGGUGGGAACAACAUAAUGCAGGAUAUGAGAAGCACUACUGACUUGGUCUUCCUCCUUUCAGGGCCAGCACCUUCUCUCUAAAGCCCAAGAGGAGUUUGAGGAAAACUAGGUGUCUCUGUUCACUCCAGGCUGAAGUUACAGGUUUGAGGAAAGGUGUAUAAAAAAUGGAAUCUGUCUUGGAGGACAUCAGAAGUUGAAUUUUCCAAGUCCUUGGACAACCUAGCUGUUGAAAAGCUUUCUGGAUUUGGGGGGUCUUUCAGAUGUACCUUAAAGUGUUAGCAGACACAGAUUAAGACACUGGGAGCCAAUGAAACAUAGCAGUUGAGGGUUUGCUAUGUAUCACAUUUCUGUAUUUUAUCACCUCCUUCCUGCAACAUUAUUUCUGUGGAAUCUACCUGCCCUUUUGUUUUUUAGAUACAAGGGCUUGGUUUUGUUACCAAGGCUGGUUUCAAGGCCCUAGCUUUAAGAGAUCCUCCCACCACAGAUUUCCAAAGUGCUGGGAUUGCAGGUAUGAUUAGUGGCACCCAGACUUUGCUGCCUUUCUUACAUGAUCAAGGCCCGGAACCCAAACUCAGGCACUGCAUAGAUGACCAGUUUGGUAAACUACUGACCUAGCUUGUUGCCAAUUGUGAUUGAGCUUCCCAUAACUCCACUUCGUUUCUGUUUCUCUGUAUACAGACACCUUCUAUUCCCAUCAUGAGCCUUUAGGUCUCCAUUUGCAUAUUGCAAAUACUAUGUUCCGUGUAGGUAGCUCAUUCAGUGCCUUGCUCUUCACUUCAAAAAAGGUUCCCUUGAGGACUGG
rnacentral:sRNA from 1 species